GGGGAAUUUUGCGCAAUGGGGGAAACCCUGACGCAGCAACGCCGCGUGCGGGACGAAGGCCUUCGGGUUGUAAACCGCUUUCAGCAGGGAAUAUAGUGAAGGUACCUGCAGAAGAAGCUCCGGCUAACUACGUGCCAGCAGCCGCGGUAAUACGUAGGGAGCGAGCGUUAUCCGGAUUCAUUGGGCGUAAAGCGCGCGUAGGCGGCCCGUCAAGCGGGGUUUCAAAUCCAGGGGCUCAACCUCUGGCCGGACCCCGAACUGGCGGGCUCGAGUGCGGUAGAGGAAGGCGGAAUUCCCAGUGUAGCGGUGAAAUGCGCAGAUAUUGGGAAGAACACCGAUGGCGAAGGCAGCCUUCUGGGCCGCCACUGACGCUGAGGCGCGAAAGCUAGGGGAGCGAAC
rnacentral:rRNA from 1 species